ACCCGACUGCGCCAGAAGGAGGGUUAUGUUUUUCGAGUGUAUGUAUGUAUGUAUGUAUGUAUGUAUGUACGUAUGUAUGUAUGUAUGUAUGUAUGUAUGUAUGUAUGUAUAAUUGUUUGGCACGCUCUACAGCCUAAACGGCUUGAUGGAUUUUGACUUGAGAGGUGUCGUUAGAUUCGUAUUUACUGUGAGAGUGACACUGGGUAUAUCAAAAUAAUAAAAAAACAAAAUGGCGGAUUUUUGGCGCCAAAUUCGAAUAUUUCUCACUCUCUAGCCUAAACGUCUUGAUGGAUUUUGACUUGAGAGGUGUCGUUAGAUUCGUAUUUACUGUGAGAGUGACACUGAAUAUAUCAAAAUAAUAAAAAAAAACAAAAUGGCGGAUUUUUGGCGCCAAAUUCGAAUAUUUCUCACUCUCUAGCUUGGAUGGAUUUCCGCUUGAUAGGGGUCGUUUGAUUCGUAUUGACUGUGAGAGUGACACUAGAUAUAUCAAAAUACAAAAA